rnacentral:rRNA from 1 species
AGCGGCGGACGGGUGAGUAACGCGUGGGAACCUACCUUUUAGUACGGGACAACGUUUGGAAACGAACGCUAAUACCGUAUACGCCCUCCGGGGGAAAGGCUUGCCGCUAAAAGAGGGGCCCGCGUCUGAUUAGCUUGUUGGUAAGGUAAUGGCUUACCAAGGCUUCGAUCAGUAGCUGGUCUGAGAGGAUGAUCAGCCACACUGGGACUGAGACACGGCCCAGACUCCUACGGGAGGCAGCAGUGGGGAAUAUUGGACAAUGGAGGCAACUCUGAUCCAGCAAUGCCGCGUGUGUGAUGAAGGCCUUAGGGUUGUAAAGCACUUUCAACGGUGAAGAUGAUGACGGUAGCCGUAGAAGAAGCCCCGGCUAACUUCGUGCCAGCAGCCGCGGUAAUACGAAGGGGGCGAGCGUUAUUCGGAAUUAUUGGGCGUAAAGGGCUCGCAGGCUGCUUGAACAGUUAGACGUGAAAUCCCCGGGCUCAACCUGGGAACUGCGUUUAAUACUAGCAAGCUAGAGUAAUAGAGAGGAAAGUGGAACUCCCAGUGUAGAGGUGAAAUUCGUAGAUAUUGGGAAGAACACCAGUGGCGAAAGCGGCUUUCUGGCUAUUUACUGACGCUGAGGAGCGAAAGCGUGGGGAGCAACAGGAUUAGAUACCCUGGUAGUCCACGCGA